GUGGGUGAGUCCAGGAUAGGGCAGCAGAUCUGUGAUGGGCUGAGGGAACUCUCCUUGAUCCUACAUACAAAAAGGCUGAAGCGCUGCUGCAGGCUCCUGCAAUAUGAUGGUGAUGUGAAUGAUGUCCAUCCCCACCACUGCCUGUUGGAUUUCUUUUGCUGCAGUUGGGUUGUUCAGUCUGACAUCGUUUCGUGAAGACAACACAUCUGCAGUUUGUAAAUUGAGAGAGAGGGUCUGAAGGUACUAAAAAGUCCUUAACAUUGCCUGUUCCUCAGAAGCCCUUGCUGGGGCUGCUUCUAAAAUGGCUCGAUGCUUCUCAGCUGGGUGGAAGACAUUUAAGCAAGUGCUAAGUGAAACAAGU